UCUAGUAUAGCAAUUAUACCGCGAAACUGCGAAUGGCUCAUUAUAUAAGUUAUCGUUUAUUUGAUAGUACCUUACUACUUGGAUAACCGUGGUAAUUCUAGAGCUAAUACAUGCUAAAAACCCCGACUUCGGAAGGGGUGUAUUUAUUAGAUUAAAAACCAAUGCCCUUCGGGGCUCUCUGGUGAUUCAUGAUAACUUCUCGAAUCGCACGGCCUUGCGCCGGCGAUGGUUCAUUCAAAUUUCUUCCCUAUCAACUUUCGAUGUUUGGGUCUUGGCCAAACAUGGUUGCAACGGGUAACGGAGGGUUAGGGCUCGACCCCGGAGAAGGAGCCUGAGAAACGGCUACUACAUCCAAGGAAGGCAGCAGGCGCGCAAAUUACCCAAUCCCGACUCGGGGAGGUAGUGACAAUAAAUACUGAUGCAGGGCUCUUUUGGGUCUUGCAAUUGGAAUGAGUACAAUUUAAAUCCCUUAACGAGGAACAAUUGGAGGGCAAGUCUGGUGCCAGCAGCCGCGGUAAUUCCAGCUCCAAUAGCGUAUAUUAAAGUUGUUGUGGUUAAAAAGCUCGUAGUUGAACCUUGGGCCUGGCUGGCCGGUCCGCCUCACCGCGUGUACUGGUCCGGCCGGGCCUUUCCCUCUGUGGAACCCCAUGCCCUUCACUGGGCGUGGCGGGGAAACAGGACUUUUACUUUGAAAAAAUUAGAGUGCUCCAGGCAGGCCUAUGCUCGAAUACAUUAGCAUGGAAUAAUAAAAUAGGACGUGUGGUUCUAUUUUGUUGGUUUCUAGGACCGCCGUAAUGAUUAAUAGGGACAGUCGGGGGCAUCAGUAUUCAAUUGUCAGAGGUGAAAUUCUUGGAUUUAUUGAAGACUAACUACUGCGAAAGCAUUUGCCAAGGAUGUUUUCAUUAAUCAGGAACGAAAGUUAGGGGAUCGAAGACGAUCAGAUACCGUCGUAGUCUUAACCAUAAACUAUGCCGACUAGGGAUCGGACGAUGUUAUUUUUUGACUCGUUCGGCACCUUACGAGAAAUCAAAGUGCU
rnacentral:rRNA from 2 species